UGCUUUCUUCUAUUGAAUAUACCAAUUGGAUUACUGAAAUCUUUAUCUACACAACCUGAAUACCAUACUAUGUACCGUUAGUGUUGAUUACUGGGAAUUGUUUCCUUGUGUUUAUUUGUCCUUUAUUAGGAAGUCACCUUUUGUAAAGGUACAAAAUUUUUAUUACUGUUGAGUCGUCUUUUUCUUCACCUACUCGAAUGCACUUUGCCAUAUUUUCCACUGAGAAACCCCUUCGUUUAUCUGGUGCUUCCACUCCUACUGUCGUUUGUCUGCAGUGAUUACUUUGUUUUCCGGCCGCCAGAGCUCAGAUCUGCCCUCUAUUUUGCAUUUUGCUGCCCUUUCAGUUAGUGUAUGAAUGAGAGUACUUUGGAAAAUAAUUUGACGAGUAGUGUACUUUUACGAAAAUAAUCCAUUCGUUUUAAUUUUAUAUUUUUAUAAAUACCUUUCAAUUUUGUUUUUAUCCAUAUCAAAGAAAUUUUUUCUCACUGGCCCGAUUCUUGGUAAAAGAAAAAAAAUGAGGAGGAGAAGAAGGAGAGGGCCAAAUCAAUGCAAAGAAACUCUCCUCGACUAUUAUGAUUCGUUGAAUAGUGGUUAUAUUGUCACCAUAAUUUCUUUCAUUCUCCACUUUUUAGUUGUACUAAAGGUCCCUAAUAUUUGCUUAUUAUUGCUCUUAUGUUUUCAAUUUUCUAUUAAUUGAUACAUUUCGUCUUGAUAAUGAUUUUUACCUAAAAAGUUCAUAAAGGAAACAUAAAAAGACAUAUUUGUCUUUCAUAUUUUAAACAGGUGAAAGAAUAGCAAACAUAAAAGUGCAAAAAAUAGAAGUACAUGGACCAGAUAUACUAACUAAUGAAAGAUUUGAGUAAAAACAUGUAAUAACAAAUUAAAGACGUAAGUGCUAUAAUAGAAAAUAAUUAGAGUUCUUUAGUGCAAUUAAAAAGCUCCGAUCAAUAUUUAACAAAAUCUUAAAACAGCUGUUUGCUAUUCAACUGUUAAAGAAAUUGAAAGUCUACAUUUAAACAUGGAUCUUAUAAUCUUCUAUCCAGUAUUAUUCUUUUCUAUGGUUUUUCCCCCCUUUUUGUGGAAAUAUUUUGGGGUUUGGGAGUUGAAAUUCCCGUAGAGUUGAAUUUCUCCAAGUUUUGUUAGGCACUGUCCGAAUUGGAUUCGAGUAGGCAUUAUGACAAUCGUACAGCGGACAAAAUUUUUUGAUUCUUUAUCUUCUUUUAUACCAUCCAAUACUAAGCAGUUCACCCAACCAAAGAAACUGCAUGUCCACACAUAUAACUGAACAAGAAAUAAAGAAUUGUUGGUACAAGGUCAAAUUCUUACCCAGAAAAUAUUAUGCAGGGUAGCUUAGUUUGGUUAAUUAGGUUAACAGGCAACUAAUAGUUAGGCCUGAACUGGUCACAUGUCCCUAUCAUUACCAAAAUAUGAUUAAUUGACUUUGAUCACGUAGCAAUCAUCAUAAAUAACAAUAAUCAUGCCGCUUAAGCAAGUAAGCCUACGUGUUAUUAGUAGUCGGCUAAACCAAAUUUGAGUUCUUAGCACUGCUUAAAUGGAUUUUGGUUAGGCUGCGGGACAAGGCUGGCUAGUCAAGGAUAUGCCGUGUUUGGUAUGGAUUAUGAAGGCCACGGGCGGUCGAUGGGUGCUCGAUGUUACAUCAAAAGAUUUGACAACAUUGUCAAUGACUGCAGUGACCAUUUCAAAUCUAUUUGUGGUAAGUUACCAAACUCUCCAACUCUGCCCUUGCGUUGAUUUUUCAGUACAGCCUUAAACUUUCUAGAGGAAUCAUUUGUAUUUAACAAUAGUUUAAAUAAUUUACAAAUCCAUUAUCCUAAAUUCCUAAUCUAAGAUGCUGAUUGCUGGAGGGAUGGACAAUUAAUUAAUUCUCUAGUAUCAUUUUGAUCUUGCUCGAAAUGGGACCUCGUUUUUUUUUUUAAUUCAAUUAUUUAAGAAAUCAACGUACUAAAGAAUUUAAUUUGAUCUACUCGACCGUGUUGUUAUGCUCAAGCUAUCAAUUAUGUUGCACAAGAACUCAAUUAGUUGGCCUAAAAAAAUUGCUCUGUGCACACUUGUAAUGCUUAACAAUGCAUUUGGUUAUAGCUUUACUCAAAAGGAUUUACUUUCAAUGGAUUCAGGGCAGGAAGAAUACAUGGGAAAAAGAAGAUUUUUAUAUGGGGAGUCAAUGGGAGGAGCAGUGUCUCUGUUAAUACACAAAAAAGAUCCUGCUUUCUGGCAUGGCGCUGUUCUUGUUGCUCCGAUGUGUAAGGUCGUAAGGAUGUAAUUGAAUGUUCUUUAUUUGAUUAUUAGAGUUGGGUGGACGAGUAUGGUGUUAGACUUGAAGAACACGUUUACACUAUAUUAGGUAGGAGUCGACAAUAUAAUAAACAAGAUUUGAGUUUCUUUCAUUUCGAUGAAGUUUUUUUGUCCUGACACAAGUGCUCAAGUUUCUAUAAGAGGCUUCGUUUGAAAUGGAGAACGAGCAGAAAAUUGGAAUAUAAGCGAUUCUAAUAUUUCUUUUUCAUGUCAUUAGAUCUCUGAGAAGGUGAAGCCACACCCCCUGGUUAUAAGUCUUCUAACUCGGGUGGAAGACGUAAUACCGAAAUGGAAGAUAGUUCCUACAAAGGAUGUUAUUGAUUCGGCCUUCAAGGAUCCGAUUAAACGAGAAGAGGUGAGCCUAUCAUUACGUUGGAGAAUUUGAAGUGAAUUUCGUAAAUGGUCCAUUUUAGGUGUCUCUGUAAUAAUUCUGCAGAUACGAUGCAACCGGUUGAUAUACCAAGAGAAGCCAAGGUUGAAGACAGCUCUCGAAAUGCUCAGAACUAGCAUGAACCUUGAAGAGAGUUUGCAAGAGGUCAUUAUCACACAGUUCAUAUUAUAAGUAAACAUUUUAAGCUUAGCCAAACAUGAAGCAAAAUCUUUCCUAUGGCUUAGAAAAAACAGUGAUAUAAAUGAUCAAAAGUUUCAAAUGUCUCGAUGGAAGAUGGUCGAUUGAGUUCUCAUGUUUAACUCAUUCUUAUCAUAUGGUUGUUGGGUGUGGCUUUUCGACAGGUGACUUUGCCAUUCUUUGUGUUGCAUGGUGAAGCGGAUACAGUGACGGACCCGGAGGUGAGUAGGGCAUUGUACGAGAGGGCGAGUAGUACAGACAAGACCAUAAAACUAUAUUCCGGGAUGUGGCAUGGUUUGACGUCCGGUGAGCCAGAUAGCAACAUUGAGAUCGUCUUCUCUGACAUUGUAUCAUGGCUCGACAAGCGUUCUUCUUGUGAAGACAUGAAAUCAAUUCACCAAUCUAUCCUUGUUCCCGAGAAACUAAAUGUCACGGCGUCGCUGGUGACAUUAAAUGGGAAAAAGCAGCAUAAAACUAGGUCGCACAUGAAAUAUAUUUGUGGCUGGAAGAGCCGUGGUGCGUGCCAUGACUCUGCGAUGUAGUCCGCAGAGAAAUAAUGGAAAAUCCCUUAUUUUCUUAUUUGAAAUGUUCUCUGGUAACUUAUUUCAUUUACUCAAUGUGAACAGUAGUCCAAGAAUCGAAAUGAGAUAACAUUGCUUUCUUCUAUUGAAUAUACCAAUUGGAUUACUGAAAUCUUUAUCUACACAACCUGAAUACCAUACUAUGUACCGUUAGUGUUGAUUACUGGGAAUUGUUUCCUUGUGUUUAUUUGUCCUUUAUUAGGAAAUCACCUUUUGUAAAGGUACAAAAUUUUUAUUACUGUUGAGUCGUCUUUUUCUUCACCUACUCGAAUGCACUUUGCCAUAUUUUCCACUGAGAAACCCCUUCGUUUAUCUGGUGCUUCCACUCCUACUGUCGUUUGUCUGCAGUGAUUACUUUGUUUUCCGGCCGCCAGAGCUCAGAUCUGCCCUCUAUUUUGCAUUUUGCUGCCCUUUCAGUUAGUGUAUGAAUGAGAGUACUUUGGAAAAUAAUUUGACGAGUAGUGUACUUUUACGAAAAUAAUCCAUUCGUUUUAAUUUUAUAUUUUUAUAAAUACCUUUCAAUUUUGUUUUUAUCCAUAUCAAAGAAAUUUUUUCUCACUGGCCCGAUUCUUGGUAAAAGAAAAAAAAUGAGGAGGAGAAGAAGGAGAGGGCCAAAUCAAUGCAAAGAAACUCUCCUCGACUAUUAUGAUUCGUUGAAUAGUGGUUAUAUUGUCA
rnacentral:lncRNA from 1 species